AAGAACAGGACAGGACAGUAAGAUACAGGCAGUGAGGGCCGGCGCCCCGACGCUUCUAAACUCGGGUGGGAUGAGCGCCAGCUCAGAGCCUACGGUGUGUUUCUUUUUUUCCCAUUUAUAAGCGCAAGAGAAGAUUUUUCAUAGCUGGCACACACAAAAGUUCAUAUUUGGCAUUUCACGUAUAAGUAAGUCCUCUGCUCUCCCCUCAAUAUGUUUAUGAAAAAGACUGGAUGUAUUUAAAAAAUAACUAACAGAGAGAGCUGGGUGAGCAGCGUGAGAAAGAUGAGGGGAAGAGCCCUGUUUCCCCUCGUUCUUUCCCACACUGCCCACUCGGCAGCUCUGCCUGCCUGUUGCUCAGCGAAGAGCACAGGUCACCCCCCACCCCUGUGAUGUAGCAGGUGGUUCUUUCCCGGACUGGAAUGGGAAGGGAUGACGUCAAGGUUGGAAAAACUGGGAAGGACUCAUUUCCGAGCACGUGAGAUUUCCCCUCCUCUCUACGAGUCUUAGAUUUCUUGACACCACAAGCCCAGCCCUCUCAAGUGUUAUACACACACAAACAUACACCUGUGUGGUUGCAGCCUCCCUAUUUGUGAAUUUGCCUUCGUGCUAAAACUUCUCUGUAACUCCCAGGUCAGGACUCACUCAUGGCACUGCCACGGCCAUUCGGACAUGCAGAGUGGGGGGAAAGCUGAGGCAACCAAGGCACCACUCUGCCUUCUUGUGGCAACUCUCAGGCUGUAAACAAGCGUCCUUUUCAGAAUCUAUUUGGUGCCAUGUAGUUUGCAUUUCUGUGACUUCGCUCUUUACACGUUCCCUCACCGGCGUGCCGAAGGGCUGUCUAGUGUCCCUAAGUGCAGGAAGGCUGCAAGGGGCCUUACGGAGAAAACACGUGUGUUAAAACUUCAUUCAGGUUUGCGUGUCAGUGCUGUUCAUGGAUCGGCAAUAUACCCUCAAUAAGAUGUCUUUAAACAGAAGCAAACUGAUUCUUUCCACAGAAUCCAAAUUGCAUCACCUACCAUGGAUGCCAAGACCACCACCUCGUACUUCCUGCAAUCUAGACAUGGGGGCUGGGCACCUGCGGCCCAGGCUGGACCCCCCAGACCAGUUACAUCGGAGUAGCUGGGGGCUGGGCCCCAGCGUCAGGAUAUGAUACUGCUCCAGCGUGCCUGCACCCCGAGCCUGGAUAGACACGCCGAGCAGCCAGUAUCUCGGAAAUGCUUCUGGACUGAAGCUCCACUUGGAAAACCACUGUCCUUCCGCACAGAGAGCGCGGCCCGUGGUGUCUCUCACUGUACCCAGCUCACCUCUGCAGGCACCUCGUCCGUUCGGCGGCUGCUCUUUCUGCCGUGAAUGCCUAGUUGUUUCUGCCAAGAACAGGAUUUCCUACCAUCCUGGCCAGAAGCACUACUGAAACUGCCUUUCUCCCUCAACAGGGAAGUCGGGACAGGAGGCGCCCUGGCCCCUUCUGUGGCCUCUCAAAAUGAACCGACCUUAGCUGCCGAGGCCAACAGCGAUGCAGGUGACAACCUUUGGCCGCCCGCUGGAACCACCUGGUGAGCUUUACAGACAACAGCUAACUGCAUCCUAUCCCCAGAGGUCAUGACUUAAUUAGCCUGGGGUGAGACAUGGACAUGGGGAUUUUUUAAAAAGAUUGCUGGAAGUUUGAGAGCCACUCCUCAAGAUCACCAGCUAAUUAAACUAACACACCUUCCCCAGGCUCAGUCAUGGUGAGCACACUGCAGUCUUCCUGUGAACCCGCCUGGGGUGCUGGCACUUUCAAUACAUCUUCCAAGGAAGCAG